rnacentral:rRNA from 1 species
CCGCGGUAAAACGCGUUACUCCUACGGGAGGCAGCAGUGAGGAAUUUUCCGCAAUGGGCGCAAGCCUGACGGAGCGACGCCGCGUGUGGGAAGAAGGCCUUCGGGUCGUAAACCACUGUCGAAGGGGAAGCGGUACCCUUGGAGGAAGCCCCGGCUAACUAC